UGGCGGCGUGCUUUACACAUGCAAGUCGAGCGAUGAGAUCCCUUCGGGGAUGGAUUAGCGGCGAACGGGUGAGGAACACGUGAAGAAUCUACCUUCAACACUGGGAUAACUCCGGGAAACCGGGGCUAAUACCGGAUACGAGAUCGGCAGGCAUCUGCUAAUCUGGAAAGUUUUUCGGUUGAAGAUGACUUCGCGGCCUAUCAGCUUGUUGGUGAGGUAAUGGCUCACCAAGGCGACGACGGGUAGCCGGCCUGAGAGGGCGACCGGCCACACUGGGACUGAGACACGGCCCAGACUCCUACGGGAGGCAGCAGUGGGGAAUAUUGGGCAAUGGAGGGAACUCUGACCCAGCGACGCCGCGUGCGGGAUGAAGGCCUUCGGGUUGUAAACCGCUUUCAGCAGGGAAGAAGCGAAAGUGACGGUACCUGCAGAAGAAGCACCGGCUAACUAUGUGCCAGCAGCCGCGGUAAUACAUAGGGUGCAAGCGUUGUCCGGAAUUAUUGGGCGUAAAGAGCUCGUAGGUGGUUCGUCACGUCGGAUGUGAAAAUCUGGGGCUCAACCCCAGACCUGCAUUCGAUACGGGCGAGCUAGAGUGUGGUAGGGGAGACUGGAAUUCCUGGUGUAGCGGUGGAAUGCGCAGAUAUCAGGAGGAACACCAAUGGCGAAGGCAGGUCUCUGGGCCAUUACUGACACUGAGGAGCGAAAGCGUGGGGAGCGAACAGGAUUAGAUACCCUGGUAGUCCACGCCGUAAACGAUGGGCACUAGUUGUGGGAACCUUCCACGGUUUCUGCGACGCAGCUAACGCAUUAAGUGCCCCGCCUGGGGAGUAC
rnacentral:rRNA from 1 species